UGGAGAUCCAGGCUCGGCUGGAGGAGGAGAGGGCCAGACUGGAGCUUGAGCGGUUGCUGCAGGCUGAAGAUGAAAAGAGGAAACAUUUCCAGCUCCUCCAGGAGCAGCAACGUACAAUGCAAAACCUCAGCCCCAUACAGGAGCUGUCAGAUGGCAGUCCCGAUGAGGACACCCCUCAGCCCUCAACUCUGCCUCUCAGGAGCUCCAGGAUCUGCAGGCAUCUCGCCAAAGAAGCCACCAGCGUCUGGAGGAGGUUCAGGAGAGGCUGAGGAAUGCCAGUCAACAUGUACGGCACUGGAACAUCCAGCUGAACCGACUGAUGACCCCCAUUACUCCUGCAGGUGCCGUAUUCACUUUGCCUCUUUGCAGCACAGACUUCUGGAACAGAGUGUUAGUAUAGUUAAUAACAGUGUAGACCAUAUAAUCUGUCAGAUAAUUGCAUUAAAAUGCUACAAAAGGCACCUACCCCCAAACAUGUCAAGAGAUUCAUUCAGUGACUUGAAUGAAAGAAUCUGACUCACCUCAAGUUAAUUAAAAUUCAAACUAAAUCUUAUUAUGAUUUAAACACGGAAAUCUUAAAACGAAAAAUAACCGCAUGCACAGUUGUUACAGGCUGCAAACAUGUUUUAUACUGCUUUGAAGUCUGGGACAGCAUCAUAAGAGACAUAACUGAUCUCACCGUA